UGUCCCUCAGCAAUCUCCUCUCAUAAGGAAUGAAGCCAUUUUCUUCAACAUUUUCAUGCAUCAAGUUCUUCAGUCCUUUAAUCAUCAGAGUGGUGGGGCCCCACUCGGCCCUUUCCAAUAUUACAAUUUUUCCUCUUAUUUGAGCUGGGGAAAGCCACAGCUAGACAUAUUUUUUCCAGGUGUUGCCUAUGAUGUUCCAAGUAGGGUGGACUAACCACACACCUUUAUCUGCUGGAUCUUAUCUCAGAGAUGCAGCACAGUUUGCCUUCAUUGCUGCACUUCCACACUGCUAAUUAAUAUUUAUUUUACUGUCCAGAGAGGCACUUCAGCAGAACUAUACCUCAACCUGUAUUUCCUUUGGGGACUGUUCUCCUGUGUAGUACUUCCCACAUAAUAUUUUUAAACCUCAUAAAAUUAUUUCUAUCCCAAUCUCCCAGCCCAUUGUAGUGUCUCCAUGCAGUGGUUUGUCUUUGCAGUGUAUCUGCCUUUUCUCACUAUCUGAUGAUGCCUGCAGUCUUUUUUAGAAGGCAUGGAGUCCUGUAAUCCAGAUAUUUUACAAGGAUUUUGAAUAGCACUGGGCCCAGUAUUGAUUCUUUUAUGGGGAAAAAAAGCUUUUCUGAAAAUGCUGGUUUUUGCACAGCAUGAGGAUCAAAGAAAGCAGAAACCAUUGUAUUUGGAUGGAAUAAUGGCUGAACACAAAAUCCAGAGGUAUGAAUGGGUGCAUCUGGUUAAUGCAUCUACAUUACCUAUCUGGCGUGUCACAGAGAGGUGUUUGGUGGCAAUUUGCUUGUAUCCAUGCUCACAGGCCUGCACCACACACCCAAGGGCACCACUGAUCUGCUCAGAGCAGUUUCACUGCAGCAGAACCAGAGCUGAAACCACAGAGCAGGGAGUCACUUAAAGCACCUCACCUGCCCCAUGGAUGCAAGGUUCUCCAGCUGCUUUUCCAGAUGAGAGCUGAUCAGAAUCCUCUUCGUGGUCCUCCUCUGGACCCACUCCAACAGGUCCAUUCUUUCCUGUACUGAUGAGUUCAGAGCUGGAUGCAGCAUUCCAGAAAAGGCUGUGACUUGACAUGGAUUUCUCUCGGCUGUAUUUCAAGUGGCAAGGAGCCGCCAAAUCCUGCACAUCACCUUCCCUUUGUAGUACCAGCUAUGUUGGUAGGAAUUUUGCGGAACUCAAGAAAUGCCAGGUGAAGGAUUGGAUCUGCAUAAAAAUAAUUUGGAGAGAAAGAAAAAAGUGAAGAAAAAAGUGAAGAAAAAAAAAAGUAUUUUUUUCCCCUAAUCCUUCCCCAGGGAUAAUUGUAU